AACGAACGCUGGCGGCAGGCCUAACACAUGCAAGUCGAACGCUGCAGCAAUGCAGAGUGGCAGACGGGUGAGUAACGCGUGGGAACCUUCCCAGUGGUACGGAAUAGCCCAGGGAAACUUGGGGUAAUACCGUAUAAGCCCCUAGGGGGAAAGAUUUAUCGCCAUUGGAUGGGCCCGCGUCGGAUUAGCUAGUUGGUGAGGUAACGGCUCACCAAGGCGACGAUCCGUAGCUGGUCUGAGAGGAUGAUCAGCCACACUGGGACUGAGACACGGCCCAGACUCCUACGGGAGGCAGCAGUGGGGAAUAUUGGACAAUGGGCGAAAGCCUGAUCCAGCCAUGCCGCGUGAGUGACGAAGGCCUUAGGGUUGUAAAGCUCUUUUGGCGGGGACGAUAAUGACGGUACCCGCAGAAUAAGCUCCGGCUAACUUCGUGCCAGCCGCCGCCGUAAU
rnacentral:rRNA from 1 species